GGGAAGGAGCAGAUGUGAGGAAAAGCUAAUUCACCUGAGGGUGUUGAGAAUCUGGAACUCACUGUCUGUAAGAGUGGUAGACAGGCAGAAGGCUUGAAGAACA